GUGCCAGCCGCCGCGGUAAUACGUAGGGGGCAAGCGUUGUCCGGAUUUAUUGGGCGUAAAGAGCGUGUAGGCGGCCAGAUAGGUCGGUUGUGAAAACUGGAGGCUCAACCUCAAGACGUCGACCGAAACCAUCUGGCUAGAGUCCGGAAGAGGAGAGUGGAAUUCCUGGUGUAGCGGUGGAAUGCGCAGAUAUCAGGAAGAACACCCGUGGCGAAGGCGGCUCUCUGGGACGGUACUGACGCUGAGACGCGAAAGCGUGGGGAGCGAACAGGAUUAGAUACCCUGGUAGUCCACGCUGUAAACGAUGGGUGCUAGGUGUGGGGGGUGUCGACUCCCCCUGUGCCGCAGCUAACGCAUUAAGCACCCCGCCUGGGGAGUACGGCCGCAAGGCUAAA
rnacentral:rRNA from 1 species